CCUACGGGAGGCAGCAGUGAGGAAUAUUGGUCAAUGGGCGAGAGCCUGAACCAGCCAAGUCGCGUGAGGGAGUACUGCCCUAUGGGUUGUAAACCUCUUUUGUCGGGGAGCAAAAGCCGGACGUGUCCGGCUGUGAGAGUACCCGAAGACAAAGCAUCGGCUAACUCCGUGCCAGCAGCCGCGGUAAUACGGAGGAUGCGAGCGUUAUCCGGAUUUAUUGGGGUUAAAGGGUGCGCAGGCGGAUUUUUAAGUCAGCGGUAAAAUCGUGGGGCCCAACCCCAUACAGCCGUUGAAAUUGGGGAUGUGGAGAGUGCGAGAGGUAUGCGGAAUGCGUGGUGUAGCGGUGAAAUGCAUAGAUAUCACGCAGAACCCCGAUUGCGAAGGCAGCAUACCGGUGCACAACUGACGCUCAGGCACGAAAGCGUGGGUAUCGAACAGGAUUAGAUACCCUAGUAGUC
rnacentral:rRNA from 1 species